rnacentral:snRNA from 17 species
AUCGCGAUGAGGACGAACAGAAUCCCGUCCAGACUGCAGGAACACCGCCUGCAACAAACAGGAGUUACAAGCCCAAUGUGUUCAGCGAUACAUUCUGUAGUGUGAAACAGGUUGGUGGGUUUGCUGGUAUUGAUUCUUCCUAUAUGACGUCUUGCAACAGAGCAAGCAAAUC